AUGGGGAGCGCAGCAGCUGAUGCGCUAUUGCCACUGGACGCCUCGAGGUUCGCCGCCGAGUCCUGCGCGGUGGUCGACUUCCUUGAAGUCUACUACCGCGACAUCGAGAGCUACCCUGUCUGGCCCGACGCUGAGCCAGGGCACCUUCGUACGCUUCUACCCGACAUGCCACCCGAGGACGGUGAGUCGGUGGACGUGAUAUUGGAGGACGUACGGCGGCACAUCAUCCCAGGACUGACUCACUGGCAAAGCCCCAACUUCUUCGCCUACUACCCGAUGAACGCGAGCACGGCCGGGUUCGCUGGUCAAAUGCUCUCCACCGGUCUCAACGUCUUACCGUUCAUGUGGGCUGCGUCACCGGCUGCGACCGAGCUCGAGGGCGUGGUGGUGGACUGGAUGGCCAGGCUGGUGGGCCUCCCGGAAUGCUUCCUCUUCUCUGGCGGCGGCGGCGGCGUGCUGCACGGCAGCACCUGCGAAGCCGUUGUGUGCACGCUCGCGGCAGCGCGCGAUCGCGCGCUGAGCAACCUCGGCCAUGAAGCCAUCCUGAGGCUGGUGGUCUAUGCUUCGGACCAGAGCCACUACACCUUCCAAAAGGGUGCGAGGAUCGUAGGAAUCCCGCCGUCCAACUUCCGCGUCAUCCCAACAUUGGCGGGUUCAGCCUACGGACUGACCGCCGACAGUGUACAUGAAGCGGUGAAGGCUGACGUGGCCGACGGUCUCGUGCCGCUAUACUUGUGCACAACCGUUGGCACGACAGGGCUCGGCGCGGUAGACCCGGUGCGUGAUCUCGGGGAGGUGGCGCGACAGUAUGGCAUGUGGCUACACAUCGACGCUGCCUACGCCGGUAGCGCAUUGAUAUGCCCCGAGUUCAAGGAUUACAUCGAUGGCGCUGAGCUCGCGGACUCCGUGAGCAUGAACCCGCACAAGUGGUUCCUCACCAACAUGAACUGCUGUUGCCUAUGGGUGGUGAGCCCAGCCUUGCUGACAUCCGCACUAUCUAGCAAUCCAGAAUACCUUAACAACGUCGGCGGGGAAGGUGCAGCAGAGGUUGUCAACUAUAAGGACUGGCAGAUCGCAUUGUCACACCCUUUCCGUGCCAUGAAGUUGUGGUUGGUCUUGCGCCGCUACGGCGUGGCGGGCAUGCGGGCGUACAUACGGAGGCACGUCGACAUGGCCAAGUGGUUUGAAACGAUGUUGGAGGCCGACGAACGGUUCGAGGUGGUCGUGCCGAGGAGAUUCUCCCUUGUGACAUUCCGCCUCCGCCCAAGGCACGAAGGCCGUGACGACAUGGAGGCCUUGAACCGCAAGCUACUCGUGGCCAUCAACGGUAGCGGGCGAGCCUUCAUGACACACUUUGUGGUGGACAACAAGUUUGUAAUCCGUAUGGUCGUGGGCGCAGCCAUGACGGAGAUGCGGCACGUCCAGGACGCGUGGGAGCUUGUCCAGGACAAGGCCAAGGAAGUUCAGGCCACUCCAUAG
rnacentral:rRNA from 1 species